UGUGGGAAGAUGUCUACAUCCC
rnacentral:piRNA from 1 species